AGUCGAACGGUAACAGGAAGAAGCUUGCUUCUUUGCUGACGAGUGGCGGACGGGUGAGUAAUGUCUGGGAAACUGCCUGAUGGAGGGGGAUGACUACUGGAAACGGUAGCUAAUACCGCAUAACGUCGCAAGACCAAAGAGGGGGACCUUCGGGCCUCUUGCCAUCGGAUGUGCCCAGAUGGGAUUAGCUAGUAGGUGGGGUAACGGCUCACCUAGGCGACGAUCCCUAGCUGGUCUGAGAGGAUGACCAGCCACACUGGAACUGAGACACGGUCCAGACUCCUACGGGAGGCAGCAGUGGGGAAUAUUGCACAAUGGGCGCAAGCCUGAUGCAGCCAUGCCGCGUGUAUGAAGAAGGCCUUAGGGUUGUAAAGUACUUUCAGCGGGGAGGAAGGGAGUAAAGUUAAUACCUUUGCUCAUUGACGUUACCCGCAGAAGAAGCACCGGCUAACUCCGUGCCAGCAGCCGCGGUAAUACGGAGGGUGCAAGCGUUAAUCGGAAUUACUGGGCGUAAAGCGCACGCAGGCGGUUUGUUAAGUCAGAUGUGAAAUCCCCGGGCUCAACCUGGGAACUGCAUCUGAUACUGGCAAGCUUGAGUCUCGUAGAGGGGGGUAGAAUUCCAGGUGUAGCGGUGAAAUGCGUAGAGAUCUGGAGGAAUACCGGUGGCGAAGGCGGCCCCCUGGACGAAGACUGACGCUCAGGUGCGAAAGCGUGGGGAGCAAACA
rnacentral:rRNA from 1 species